UUUUUAAAUAUAUGUUAUAUUGCUUGUAAUUUUUGGCCAUUGAAUUAAAAGAAUGUAGAUUAGAAUGAUUGGGUCCUUUAAGGUAGUGAGUGGUUAGUUGAAUAGUGUAAUCUAAUGAUUGAAAAUGAUCAAAAGACGUAUCUAACGUUAAAAACUUACAAGUAUCAAGAGCUUGAUGCUUUUACAAGCACCGUAGCCAGAUUCUCUCUCUCUCUCUAUAUAUAUAUAUAUAUAUGUAAUAUUUUAAUAUAAAUUAUAAUAAUUAAAUAUAUUAUGAUAAUUAUUAUAUAUUAAUAAUAUAUAUAAUAAAAAAUAUAUUAAAUAAUUUUUUAUUUUUUUUUUCAACCAGACAACCGUUAUGAAAAUCUUUUUUUUUUUCUAUGAACCAAACACUAAACAACCUAAAACUUUUUUUUUUCACUGAAAAUUUUUUACACCGAAAUUUUUUUUCACAAUUUUACGUGAAACCAAACACACCCUUAGUGUUUAUAUUUUCUUACGUUGCAUUCAUCCUUUGCUCAAUUUUUUUAAAAAAAAAGUCAGCAAGUGAUCUUGUCCCAUAAACCAACUAUAUGAGAAAGUCCAGGGACUGAAACCAAGUCUCAAGUACUAUCCAAACAUUUAAUCCAAAGAAAACAAAUUAUACCUAACAUAUAUUUAUUCCUCGUCUUCUCCAUUUGUUUUUUUUUUUUUUUUUUUUGAGAGAUAGAUAGCACGCUACCCGUUUCGUUUACUUCAUUUAAAAAUAAACUUAGCUGGAAAUAUGAAUCAACUAGGAUUCGAACUUGGGUCUCGGAUACCAACCAUCAAGUCUUUUGCCACUUGCUUUAGGGACAGCGGUGUCUCCAUUUGUUGUGGAGAAAAAGAAGAUGUGGAUGAGAAUCCAUGUUCUUUAUCUAGAUCUGUUUUCCUGAUCAUCAAUCCACUAGCAAAAAUAUCACCAUCAAAUUUGGCAUCACCAGCAAGUAGAAAAAGUAACCAAAAAAUAAAAAAAAUAAAAAUUGCUGGGCUUUUUGCAGGGGCCAGGGGGGUGGGACUUAAAGAGCUAUCCAACUAUAUCUUCUCCAUAGUUCCACCCCAUAAGCUACUUGCUAAGUACAAGUGCUUCUCCAAAAAGCAGCAGCUUCUGAAACAUCCUCCACUACAACAUGAUGCUCAAAGCUCCAUAAAAGAGCACAUCUCCAAUCAGAUAUUCCACUGGAAUAUUAGCAUGUAUUAAGCAAGUAUAAGUGCAACACCCACCUUCUCCUAAGCUUUACACCCAUUAUUAAUAUAUUAUGCAUGUGUAAUUUGGUAAUGGCAUAUCCACUCACCUUUGUGCUUUGAUUUAUACCUUGCAAUGUAAUCAGAAUGGUGUAAUGGCCUAAUGUUGGGCAUCCAUUACAUGGUAAAUCCUUUAUUAAUAAAUUUAGGGGGAAAGGGUGUAUGAUGACUUUGUUGAGAGCUCCCAAAAAGGAGCAACCAACCAAUGUGUUAUAAUAAAGAAUAAUCCCCAUCUUUCCAAAUUAGUUAUUGUACAUGUUGAGCUUAGUUUUCAAAGCAUCUUGAUUGUCGCGAGAAAAGAUGAUACCGGAAGCAAUUAUAUAAGGAUGAUGUUAUUGACAUAGCAAUACUUAUUAUUUCUUGACGAGAAUGUUGAAUCUGAUCAAAUUUGCUAGCCAGAUUCGUGUACUUAAGUCUAAGGACCUGGGAAAGGUUUGGAGGUAGAAAACCUGUAGCAGUGAUCUACCUAAGAAGCGAAAUCGUCAGAUUACAUAGUAGUAAUCUGAUAUCCUCAACAAGUGCAAGGUUUGGUGUGAACAGUAUAGACCGGAAAAACAAGAAUCAAGGAAAAUUCUUACCAUGGCAAGGACUGAAGUUCCUCCAAUGUGAACUUCAUGUUAUUCUCCAACUGUUGAAAGCAACCUACUCAUGAAAAGGACACCAAGAAGGAAAAGUAUUUUGGGCUUCUAUAUUGGGCUUCUUCUAUACCGUUAAUGUGUUGGCAAACUUAUAUGUUAUUUUUGAAUGUAUGAAUCUAUUAAUAGCUUUUACAUUAUAUGUUUGUCGACGCAUCGACAAUAUUUAAAGAUAGCAUUUUGGGAGGUCUGUAGAAUUACUGAAAACCGUCAAAAUUGUAAAGUAUGUUAUUAUAAGCAUGGGAAUAGUUAAAAUAUGAGUCUCAUAAUUGAGGUGAGGAAAGAAGGAAAAGCUAAGAUAUGACACUUGAUAGUAUUGCCCUUAGAUUGCGAACCUUGUAAUUUUGAUCCAUAGAAAUAAGUGGGUGUGACUGAAUGAAUAGGAAAUGAAAGUGAGGAAUCUCCAAUUUGGAAUUGGCAACAGUAAACAUGAAAGAGGCAUUGUUUAUGGAAUAACAAGCACCAACAAUGUGGGCCACUAAUAGGAACAAGAUAGGCACUGAACUGGAAAGAAAAAUCCAUGCCACUUCCAUUCUCCCUUGACUAGUUGCUCUCCUCUCAAUUAUUCCCAACACUUCUUAACCUCCUCUACUGCAUCUUUUUAAGUGAAACACUUCACAACCAAAAGGCUCAAGUAGACUUUCCAUUCUGCUUCCUCUAAAAGCUCAACUUAACAUAGUUUGUGUUACCCCAAAUGGAAAAUGAAGAAGUGGGGGAGACAGAAGGAAGCAGUAGUGGAGAACUCGGCAACAAUUUCGAUGGAGAAUGGUUGGAUUUAAGCCUUGGUGGGCUUAAUCAGAAAAGCACUUCUGACCCUCCACCAGCUAAAACAGCUCCUCACAAGACAUUCUCAUGCAACUUCUGCAUGAGGAAGUUCUUCAGUUCGCAGGCCCUCGGAGGGCACCAGAAUGCGCACAAGAAGGAGAGGGGUGCCGCGAGGAAGUCUCACCAGCUGUCGCAUAGGACGAUUGCAAAUUUGCCCGCCAGCACUCCAAUCCUUCAGUCUCUAAGAGUGCAUUCUCAUUCGAUGGUGCAGAAGGCGCCUAGAGAAAGCAGUGCAGUCAUGGUGGCGAGAUUCGGCGCGAUCGCGCCGGACACGAGGAUCGGAUGGGCCCCCUUUGAAGAAGAAACAGGUUUGAUGUGGCCAGGGAGCUUUUUAACAGAUUCUCAGCAGCUGAAGAACCAAACAGAGCAGCAAAAGCUUGAUUUGAGUCUUCGGCUUUAGCAUAUACUUUUGACAGGUGAGAAUUGCUCGCCGACCGGCUUUAGAAACGGCAAGAUGAAAGGGCCUUUUCAGCGAAUCGCAGUUUGGUUUCUGAUCUUUUACUUCUACAUGUUAGUGUCUAAACUUACCGAAUUUCUUGCGAUGUCAUAAAAAAAAAAAAAAAAUCUUAUGUUGUUCAGCUCCUAGCUAGAGAUUUUGGAGAAAAAUUCACCUGGGGAUGGCACUGCAAGCAAUUGGGUAGUUCAGUACUGUCUGAAAGAUCUGGGGCAUACUUGCAAUUCAUCAAAAGUUUAGAGACUACUCGUGCAUUUUACGUUUUUAGAGACUAACAGAAUAUGAUCUUCAGUCAACCAUUAGAAGGCUGGUUGCUAAUUGUGCACAAUUAUGUCAAAUGAAUAGCAAAUCGAAAGUUUGCAGGUGCUUCUAGCAAAUAUGACAACAUGUAGUUGUGAUUCAAUACUAGCCAUGUGCAUCAAUGGUUUAUAAACAAAUUUGAUAUUGCAGGAUCACCUGGUCCCCAAUCUCGCUUAAUUUCGAAGGCUCUGUUUACCGCUGUAAGAUACCGCUGUAAGAUAUAGUUCAGGAAGCUUAUUUAAUUCAAAUAUCGCACCAUCAAAACAUUAUAAUGAUAUCUACUAUUUUUAAACAACAUAAAAGAUAUGUAAACUGACAGUUUUGGAGCUUGUACCAGAAAGCAGCUUUGUUUUGAGAUUUCUCAUGAAACUCCUUCCUUAAUUCAUGUAACUUCUGUUAAGUCGCGAGCUCAACAUGUUAUUUUUUUUUCCUUCAAAAAGAUAAUUUUACCCUUCAAUUGUAAAAUGACAUUUCCUGCCGCAAAUUUAUACAAAAAAAGGGGGCAAAAUGGUCAUUUGAUAGACGGGCCACAUGCUGAAACCAUGAAUCAAUGAAAAAUGAGGUAAACUUAAGUGAUUGGCAGGUGAUUUGUCAAUGGACUAAAAGCCAGAAUAUCAGUUAACUACAGGAACUAUCCACACAUUUCGGGCGUUUUUGGUAGUAUCGGGCUCCAACUCAUCGUACUGGCAAGUUCAUUGAGCUCGACAUCACGCAGUCUAUGCAUGAAGUCAUGAGCACGCGCCGUGCACGAAAGGGGCGGUUUCUGAGACAAUUCUUAUGAGGGUCCCAGCAAGAAAUCGAUCUGUGCUGAAAUACAUUUCAGGUGCACCUCAAAAUCAUCGAUCUUCAGACUUUCACGUGCUCAAGACUUCAGAAAGCGAGUCCAUCCCUGCCAAACAUGCCCUUUACACAUAAACAAAAUUUUGUUCCCUUUGCACUCGAAAUGAACAUAUGAUUGGCUUGACAAACAUUCCACUACGUUAGUUACAAUUGCAUCAAUUCUAGAAACAUCCAAUAGAUACCUCUAUCUACUUUAGUUAUAAGCAUAUUACAAUAUGGCUAUAAUGAAGGAGUGGAAUAGCUUCUGCUGCAACUGGUUAUCCACUUCUUCAAAUAGCAUGUUAAUGCAUGUUUUUUUUUUUUUUCUCCGAGUUAAAAGAGGAAAACCUCCCAAAAUAUCAUUGCCAAAAUAAAGUUGUACAGAAUCUGAAAGCAAUAGAAAUUACAAAGCAACUCAUAAAUAGUUCAGAUCUUAACCUUGAUAUUUAAGACAACCCGAUAUCUCUAUAUUCGUUUUCUUCUGAGCAAAAAAAAAAAAUCUUAUACACUGCUGGCCAAACCAAUUGCUUGGUGAUUGAUAAAGAUCAACUGCAACCUGAGAAUUACUGCCAGUGCAGAGGUGCCUCAACCAUAUUGUGGCUUACAAUCUUCCAUAAUAACUUUUCUUCGUGAGAUACUUGCAUUAUUCUAAUAGCAUCAAUUAGACCGUAAUUCAAAUUCCAACUGGCCAAAUAAUUUUCUUUUGAAAGUAAAACUCCACCUCCCCAGAUCAUCAAGCCUCAAGAAAUGAAUCAGAACUUAAUAACUUCAUCAAAGCAUGCAAUUGCCACAUUGUAUACAUCACAUAUUCAGAGAUACAUAACAUGCAACUUCCACAAUGUAUGCAACCAUAUAGUAGAUAUGGAUUUUCUUUCCUUCAAAAUAGAUAGAUAUAUACAAAUAGAAAUUAGAGUAGCUUUCACUUGUCAAUUUGAAAAGUUGAACUACAAAAUUUUUCUGAAGCCCAAAAUUCUGCAGAAUCUACUCACAAGUCCAGAUCAUCUACAUCAACAUACCUCUCCUUUUCCGCACUUAGCAUUAGUUGCCUGACAGCUGCUUUGGUGGUGGAAACCAGAAAAAGCUUUUCGCCAUCAGAGAUUGUUCAAAGAUCACUUCUAUAAAGUGAUAAUAACUCCUAAAAAGCUAUCAACCAGACAUUGUCUGCAAAAAGUCGCAAAACUCUCCAUGCCUUUAUCUUCUAUAGUCUUUGAAGAAGGAUGGAGGAAUCUCUGAGCGAGGAACCAAGGUUGACACAGAUUUGAACUGUUCAAAAUUAGUGAAAAUGAAAUUAAACCAAACAAGACCCAACAAAACUACAGGUUGAGGGCCAAACUGAAAUAGACAAGAUACUACACAAAAGUGCUUAGUCUUACCUUAUGCUGCUUGUAUUUGUCUUUGAUGGCUUUCAAGGCAGAACAUUUCCUGUUCAAUUGCAAAUCAUGGAUUGCGGCAAUGCAAUCCCUUAGCUCAGAGGCACUAUACCCUGUGUUACUUUGGAGUGAUAGACUCUACACAAGCAAAAUUACCAACUAUUACCAAACAUGCCGCAGUAUACAAAUUAGAUGAGAAUUUUACCAUCAGAAGCACUCUUACCCAAGGUUGGGACCUUGGAUUAAUGGUGAAUCUCGCCAGGAACACAGAAGAAGCCGCAAUAACCGAUGGUAAGAACCGAACACAGCCAUAAUCCACCAAACUUAAUUCAGCAAGGUAAUUGCCCAAGAACUCCAACAACAGGUUUGGGUACUGCAAAUAAUUGAAUCAUCCAUUACAAAAGCAAAAUUCAGGAUAAAACUUCAAGUCCAGGAACAGUUGCCCAAAAAAACAAACAAUGUAGAUAAAAGAAGUAGACCAACUUACUUUGCAACCUUGACCAGCCUUUGUGAAUCUCCUAUAAAAGGAACGCAAACAUAACAACCUCAUUAAGUUUCAUGUUAUGCAAUUGAUGGUCCUAAAAACAAUCACAUAGCAUGACAAACAAAUAAAACAUAAUCAGGCCUAUUAGAGUAAACGACAGGUUUCGCCUUUUUGCCACUACACAGGAUAUUUGAGAUAAAUUGCCACAAUAAGCAAAGUUCUCUCCAGCAUAAUUGAUAUUGAAUUCGAAUUCUAUACCUCAAAAAAGUCUUUACGGUGGGGUCUCCCAUUUCAAAGUUGAGAAAUUUUAGAACCAUUGCCUCCAUCUUCACAACCUAAAAUCACAAAUGGAACAUGUUGUUUACUCGCAUAGGAAAAACCCAAAAAUAACAUUCGGCGAAGAUAGCUAAGAGAAAUCAUACCUCCUGCUUCGUGUAGCUAUUGUCGGUUAUGUAACAAAAAUCUUCGACAUGAGGAGGGCUAAUCUCUUCAUACUUCCUGCACCGAAAAAGAAAAGAAGGCGCUAUCAAUAACUAAUCGACCGCUCAAAAAAAACCCUAGAUGAAUACCAAGAAAAAAACGAGAGCUUUGACACCUACGAAGCUACGAGCAUGCAAGAAACUCCGAGAAGCUGCAGCUUCUUCCGAGCGACAGCAUGCAUUGAAAGAAACCUAUCGACAUAUGAGAUUGUGAGAAAAAGGGUAUCAGGGAGAAGUUUAUACUCCUCCGCAACGGCGACCAACCAAUCCACCAGCAUCCCCCGCAUAUUUUCCGUAAUAUCUUUCUGAAUUGUCUCAAUAAAGUUAGCAAUGGGCCUUCUCUUCGGCUCUGCCUAAAAGAUUCAUCAAAAUUACGAGGACCCAAUUCGAAUUAGACAAAACCCACAUGGAAUUGAGCCUAAAAAGUCCAAUUUUUUAGAACCAGACCUCACCUCCAAGGAUCGAAGGUAGUGAUAUAUAUCACCAGCGUAAUAAGAACAUAUUUGGGGAUCCUUCUCAUUAGAUUGAGUGGAAGGAGAGUUAGAGGAAGUGAGAGGUAAAGGAGCUUCCUUUUGCGCUGCCGCUGCCUCCAUCGCCUCCGCUGUCACCGCUGCAGCCUCUUCCCUUGCCUUCGAUCUCGUUCUUGGUUUGGAAAAAGGAGGGGGAUUGGGAGCGGGGGCGACAUUGGAUAGGUUCGGGAGCUCGGCCAGCGCCUUGCGCUUUCUCUUGGCCGGGGUGUGGAGGCGACGAGGUGGUGGCGCCGCAGCGGCGGCGGGGGCGUAGGUGGAGGUGGUGGCAUGCGUCUUCGCCGCCGCCGCCGCUGCCGAGGCAGCGGAGCGGGUGAGGCGGGCGCAGUUGUUCUCCUUGUUCGCCAUGGUCGCCCCUUCUCUGCUUCUUCGUUCUCUUCUUCUAUGGACACUGCGAUGGUUCGAAAUGGGGAAAAACUAGGGUUAGGGUUAGAGAGAGAGGAGAAACGAGAGGGUUAGGGUUUUGGAAUUUGGAUUUGAGGGGAAAGAAUGAGAGGAGGAGGGAGUGGGGGAGGAGGGAAAGCGCCAUUUUUACAAAUUCGAAAGUGCUGUUUGUUUUGAGCGCUUAAAAGAAACUAAAAUUUUGGUUAAAUUGUAUACACACCCCGUAACCUUUAAUUAUUUUGAAAUUCAGCCCUUAAUUUUUUUUUAUUUGAUUUACAUCUCUCUACUUACCAUCUAAUUUAGCUCAUUUCAUUAGCAAUUUGACUAAAAUAAUUUUUAAUCAUGUGCAUCUCUUAUGAAAAUUUAUUCUGAUUUCUAACCGAAUCAUCAAAAUUAAGAUACUCAAAUAAUUAAAGAAAAACAUCAAAUACCAUCCCUGUAAUUUCUCACUUUUUUAUUUUAGUACAUGUGGUUUAAAAUAUAUCAAUUUCGUGUCCCAUGGUUUUAUUUUUCUCUUUUUAUUAUCCCCCACUAAUUUUUUUAGUUAAAGCAGUGAAAAAAUUAAAACUAAAAGAUAUUAAAGUAAAUACUCAAUAAAUCUAGAUGAAAUAUCUAAAAUUUUUUAUAUAUAAUUUAACGAAAUGUUAACGGAGGAGCUGAUAGAAAGAAAAAAAUAAAACCACGUGAUACUUAAUUGAUACAUUUUAAAUCACAUAAUAUUAAAGUGAGAAAGUACGAAACCAUAGAGGUGAUAUUUGAAGUUUACCCAAUAAUUAAUAAGUAGAAUAGAUAUAAAUCAAACAAACAAAAAAUUAGAGGGUCAAUUUCAAAACGUAUUAAAGUUUAGGCGGGUGUCUUAUACAUUUUAUGAUUUUAACCUAAAAAAUUUGAGAUUCGAUUCGAUUGGUCACUUUUUUGGGCGGAAUUUAUUUUUGAUUUCGACUUUUUCAAAAUUUGUUUUUCCCUUCUUUUUCUGUGUAGAAAAGGGUUCGUAUUUGGAUAUUUUUGUUCUCUUUUUAUCUUUUUCGUUGUUGAGUUUACAAAUUAGUAAUGUUGGAAUUUGAUCCAUUGCGACGAUUUUAGAUAAUAAUAAUAAUAAUAAUAAUAAUGCUGGGGAUAGAAAUUUUGAUCCAAACCAAUUGAGUCAAUCAGAUUCGAACCGAAUUAGAUCAGUAUUGGUUGAUUUUGAAUAAUCCGCUUUUGGUUGAAAGUUGUUUAAUUCAAAAUAUAUAUAUCUAUAUCUAUAUCUAUACUAUAUAUAAAAGCACGUAUUUUAAAUUUUAGUCUAUCGACAGGCCUAUUUCAGAAUUUAUCCUUUUUCGUAUGCAAAAUAAAUAACAUAACGAAACUUUUUUUUUUUCUCCAACUAUUAAUAUUUAUUUUUUAUUAAAUUUUUUAUAAGUCAAUAUCUUUUCUUUUAUGAUAAAUAUUUAUAUAUUAUUUCUAUUUUUAUCUACUAAUAUUUUUUUAUUAUAUUAAUUUUUUAAUUUUUAAGUAUUUGAAACUUCUAAAAAAUAAAUUUAGUAAUUUUUCGAAAUCAUAAUAAAUUCCAUCAAACGGGCGUAAAAUGAUGGUCAAAAUUAAACGACGUUCUAAAAAUGGAUGAUCGGAUUCUUUAAUUUAAAAUCGGAGUUAUUGAUCUUUAUCUAGGUAGUGAAUAGAAUUUUUUAGCAAAAAUUCAACAUAUUUAAAUUUUUUACACUGUUAAACUAGCAAGUAUCUCAUACUGACAGUUAAAAAUUGUCAAUUUUGUGAGCUUUUAAUCGUAAGGUAAAUGAUGUCAAAAAAUUAUGAAAUUUGAUUUUUAGAAGUUUUAAAUACUCUGGAUAAUAUUUAAGUGUAUGGAUCGUCGAUUCGAAAGUUCUAUCAUCAAAAACGACUUAUGAGUACGAGAGCGAUCAUACUCAUAAGAGUAUAAUAGCUGGCCUCGUAUAUAUAGAGAGAGAGAGAGAGUCAGGCUACUAUAUUAUUGAUAGCACGAUGGCCUUUGCACUACUAAGUUGUUUUUAAUAAUACUGUUUCUAAAUCGACUAUCGGCUCCGUUAAAUUUGAUCUAUACUAUUAAAAGUAUUUAGAAAUCAAAUUUUAUAUUUUUUUCGAUAUUAUUUGACUAGUGAUCAAAAUAUCUCAAAAUUGAUAAUUUUAAUGGGCGAUAUGAUUUGUUUGUGAAUUUAACGGUGUAAACAAUCAAAAUCUGAUAAAAUUUUUAUAGAAAAUUCUCUUCACUAUUUAAAGUAAGAUCAGUAUCUCUUAUCUUAAAUUCAAAUCUUUUAUCAUAAUUUGUUAUGAAAUUUUUAUUUUCAGAAGUUUAUUUUUACACUAUUCGUUUGAUAGAUAAUGAUGUCAAAAAUUUAUGAAAUUUAGUUUUCUAAUACUUUCAAUAGUGUAGAUUAAGUUUAACAUAGCCGAUCGUCGAUUUGAAAGUUGCAUUAUCAAAAACAACUUGAUAACAUGAAGGCUCGUUUGAUAGAUAAUGAUGUCAAAAAUUUAUGAAAUUUAGUUUUCUAAUAUUUUCAAUAGUGUAGAUUAAGUUUAACAUAGCCGAUCGUCGAUUUGAAAGUUGCAUUAUCAAAAACAACUUGAUAGCAUGAAGGCUCCGUGUUACCGAUAAUAUAUCGACGUGACCCUCUCUCUCUCUCUCUCUCUAUAUAUAUAUAUAUAUACACACACAGACGCCUUUGAUUGGAUUGUAUUAGUUUAGAUGAAAUGGGUCGGAUUGAUGAAUAGGAUUGAAUCGGGUCGACAUGUUGAUAGAUUAGAUCAAUUGGAUCGGAUAGAGUUUAAUGGCUUGAUGGAUCGGAUUGUUUUUAAACUAACACCAAGUAAAACAUUUGUUCCCAAAAAGCCGAAGGGCUUAAUCAAAUCCUUUUCCUCCUAACCUGUAACUUGAGGUUAAAGUAGGCUAAAAAUAUAUUAAGUACUUUUGUAAAUAUUUAUUUUUCAUCUUUUUUUUUUUUUGGUAACUUUCAAAAAUCUGUGUUUUGUCAUCUUAAAAUUUUAUAAUUAUUUUUAGCAAAUUACAGCAUUAAUGGAGUGAAUGUAAUGAUCAAAUUGCCCUCACUUAUUCUAUAAGAAAAAGAUUAGUAUUUUUUUUUUAAUUUUCAAGAGCACUUUUUAUAUAAGUUAUAAGAAAUUGGCAAAAUAGUAAUAUAAUUCUGAUAGAGGGGUAUUGAAUAUAUCAACUUGAAAAUUUGAAAAAUAAAAUAUAGAUGUUUAAAAAAGUCAGGAAAAAAUAAAAGGGGUGGUAUUUACAGUGGAUUUUUUUUUUUUUUUUUUUUUUUUUGUAUUUUAGCCUUAAAAGAAAGAUACGGCAAUAAUUCUAAAUUUUACAAUAUUUUUUCAAACAUUGCGUGUGCCUUCACAAUUGUAUUGUAACAACAUCGAUGGAUGACUUAUAUACUGGUGUUCGAAAUCCGGGAAGGAAUGCACUGGCAUCAAGGCUGACUUCGAGAAAGCGUUCGACAACGUGAGAUGGUCCUUUCUAAAACAGAUACUGCAGUGGCUAGGUUUUAACGAUAAAUGGUGGGCGUGGAUCGAGCAAUGCAUCUGUAACGCCAAAGUAGUUGUUAUAGUAAACGACAUCCCGACCCAGUGGUUGAAAACUCGGAAGGGGCUUCGGCAGGGAGACCCCCUUUCCCCGUACCUCUUCUUACUACUAGCUAACUGCUUAGCCAGACUCACUGAAACCGCGAGGAGAAACAAUCAGUUACAAGGCAUUGGUCCAUCCGACGAUUGCCAAACGGUGCUUUUACAAUACGCCGACGGCACAAUCUUUUUCUGUGAACCGAGAAAACGUUUUAUGCACAACUUGCUGUUUCUCUGGAACAUGUUCGAAUGGGCCUCUGGCCUUAGCAUCAACAAAGAGAAAUCGGAACUGUUCUACUUGGGCCCCAACCCUCGUAAGGCAGCCAGACUUGCGAACAUCUUAGGAUGUCAAGUCGGACGAUUACCAUUCCGCUAUCUGGGCCUACCACUACACAACAAGCAACUUCGCAAGGAAGACUGGGCUGUGGUCAUCAAUCGAGUUGAAGCACGAAUAGAAGGCUGGAAAGCCAAACUUCUCUCGCUCAGGGGAAGACUCACGCUCGUUAACUCGGUUCUCACCAACCUACCACUAUUCUACUUUUUCAUCUUUAAGGCGCCAAAGUGGGUGUUAAAUCGGAUAGAGGGACUCAGAAGAGCUUUCUUCUGGAAAGGGGGCUCCAAAAUUACCGGUGGUGCUUGCCUUGUCAACUGGAAUUCAGUAUGCGAAAGUAAAAGAGACGGUGGUCUUGGAAUCUUAGAUCUAAAAUCUAUGAAUCUGGCACUUAUAACCAAAUGGUGGUGGCGCUAUUUUAACAACCGUGACCUCCUUUGGUGUAAAUUGAUUUCAUCCCUCUACUACGUUAGACGUAAGCCGCUGCUUGAGGGCAGAUCCUUUGCCCCCUAUUCACAGUGGUGGAAGAGCGUGCUCUACUGUUGAGANACCUUGCUCUUUGCAUGUGAACUAAAACAUAGCUAAAUACCAAACUGUUGUCCAGAUGUGUUUUCCUGUAGAGGAACCUAUGAGCUUGGCGACGAAAGAAAUAUCCGGAUGGGGUCCGACAUCUGGAUUAGAGGAAUCCCUCUUCGUACUCUAUUCCCGAUCAACUUUCAAAACAUUAGGAAUAAGAAAAUCCGGAUUUCUCAGCGCUGGAAUCAGGGCGGCUGGAGAUGGCGCUUUAUCUGUCGCGGUUCCACGGCAACCCUUUCUAUCGAAAGCCGAAGACAAGUAUCGAUGCUUAAAGACAUGCUCCAAGGCCUCCGCCCUAGUGACAGACCGAACUUGGUGAAAUGGCGAUGGACCUCCAAGCAACUAUUCACAGUUAAAUCCCUCUACCAGUUCAUCACGGAUGUUGGACUUUGUGUCCCGACGAAUCAGCACAUCUGGAAGCUCAAAAUUUCGAUUAAAAUUAAAAUUUUCAUUUGGCUACUCCUUAGAAAUAGACUACCCACCUCUGACAGACUGCUCACCCGAGGCAUGCACGUAGACCAGAACUGUGCUUUUUUGCGCAGUCCUUACGGAAAGCUGCGACCACCUUUUCAACGACUGUGUUUACGUCCGAUAUCUUCUUCUCAGUAUGGGAGGACUAACGGAUGCAAACGUAGGCAGCACUCGAGAUGCUAAAGCUCUCUGGACUGAAGGUACUGAAAUUCCUGUCGCCACGUCGCGAAACCAAAGCUUGAUCCUCUUGGCUGCGACUUGGUGGGUAAUCUGGACAGAUAGAAACAACUCUAUUUUCAAUGGAAAGCCGCCCACGGUUUCUGGGUCUCUUGAACGCCUCAAAGCUCUGAUAAGCACUUGGAGUACAUUGCUUUGACGCCCUCACAUACCUCCCCUUUUUUUUCUUUUGCAGUUUCUUUUUUCACCUUUUUGCCGCUUACUCGAAGGCCUAAGCUGCCUACAACUUGUAUGCCCAGUUCAUUAGACUUAAUGAAUGAAGCAGGUAGCUUGCUACCUAUUUCUCAAAAAAAAAAAAAAAACAACAUCGAUGGAUGCAAUCAUGCAAAGAUAUUUUAUUUAACCCGGGGUAAAAUCAAAUGUUUAGCCCCUUUUAUUUUUUUAAUAUCUUAUAACUUUUACUCAGUAAAAAAUAAUAUAAUGAGGUAGAAAUAAUAAAAAAAACAAUUCUAUAUAUCAGUCCAUCUUUUUUAAAAAUAUAUUACUUUGUACCAUGGGACAUUGAUUUUGUGGUAAUUAAAAAUGAUUAAAUAAUGUGAAACAACCGUUACUUUCUACAAGUUUAGGCUACAGAGAAUGUUGAUUUUAAUAUUUAUAUUCAGAACUCUCUUACACAUUUCAUGCAAAAAUUAUUUUAUAAAUUAAGACGUAGACUUAAAUUAAAUCAGAGAAAAUUAAAUAAGACAACCUUCAUGCUCCAAUACUAAGAAAGAAUUGGAGAACUCCUACACUACAUGAUGUGUUGGAUAUUUCUCACAACAUAUAAAAGUGAUACAUAUUACAGUGAUUCAUGUUACCCUAAAAAAAUGUCAUCAAAUAAUAUAUGACUAACAAAACUUUAGACACUGUGACAUUUAAAAAAAAUGGUCCAAUAAAUUAUUUCUCAAGGAAAAGAGUUUGCCAUGAUCCAAGCACUUGGCAUAAUUGGUAAUAGAAAAAAAAGUGCAUGUAAAAAAAAAAAAAGGUCUAAUAAUUAUCUCUUUUAAGGAAAACAAAUUGUCAUAACACAAAGGCCAAUAGGCCAUACAUGAUUGUUAAUUUACUAUUAUUAAUUAUUAAAUCACCUUUGUAGAGAUGUGAGGAAGAAAAAAAAAAAAAAAGGUAAAGUGUGAAUUCCAAAACAAAACAAAACAAAUAGAAAUUAAUUGUGUGGCAUCACAUAAAUUGUAAGGAUUAUGACAAUUUAAAAGAUGUUUUUUUUUUAUAUUUUUUAUAUUCCCAACAUUUUUUAGGGCAUUUGUAAAUUUUUUAGCGUGGCACGAGUGUAAUUUAUUCUAAUAGAAAGGUUAAUAUGCUUAACCAUAUUCACGCGUCCUUUCAUCUCUCCAGGCGUUACACCUCACGUUUCUAAAUUGGCGUUUUUUUAUUUUUACUCAUCCUUCUGCUACUCGUGAAAACCAGUGUUAAGUCCCGGAAAAGCUCCUCAUUUCUACGCUCUAAACAUUUUCUUCAUUCCUCCCUUUCUUCUUUUGAAGCAUCCUCUCUCUAUCAAUGGGAGUCGGAGGUAAAAAAAAUGAUGGUGAGUUACUCUAAAUCUAAAUUCUUUUGACGAUCGAUUUGUUUCUCUAUUUUGUGUUUUCUUUAUUAUCUUACUAUAUUUUUAAAAUUUCGGAGAUUAUUGUGCAAAUAUUUGAGUGUUGUUGAUGAAGAAUAGAAUAAUUGUAGGUUCGAUUCUAAGUUAAUAGAAUUUCUUUGCUCAAAGAUACAAUCAUCAUCUGAAUGCUUUUCCCACAACAGUAUUAGGGUUUUUUAGGAACUAACAAAUGUUUCAAAAGCUUGAUUAUGGUUGAUCUUUAUUAUGAUUGCUUUUGAAAUCUAUAAAAAUGGUAAACAGGUAAUUGUGAUAGUACGACUUUUUAGUUGAUGCUAUCAUUGCUUAGAGAUGUAAUUAUAUUUUCAUUUGUAUCUUAUUUUACAUUAAAAAUUUUGGCGAUUUCAACACAGGCAAUUUUAGUGGUGGUCGUGAAGAAUAGCUUACGCAGAGAUCUGAUUUUUUCCUUGAAUGCCAGUGUUUUUUUUUUUUUUUGUGUGUUGUACUAGUUUAAUAAUAUUUCGAGAUGAUUAUAAUUAAUUGUUUCUAAAAUUGUAAAAAUGGUAAAUGAAUAAUUUGUAAAUUAUGACUUUUAGUCAAAUCUUAGUAAAUCUUGAAAAUUUUUUUGAUAGGGACGAAUCCUAACGUGAGGCUCGUGCAUCCACCCGGUCACAAAUGGCACGAAUCUCAAAAUCGUGUAAAUGAUGAAUGAAAUAGUCUCACGUUGGGGACUGUUCCCACUAAAGUUUUAUUAUUAUUAUUAUUAUUUUCUGAAGAACAGCACUGAGUGCAUUUUCUCAGGCCCAAGGCUGAUCCAAAAGAGACCGGUUGGGCCAAAUUGGGCCGGCUAAUCAAAUAAGGAAAGUGGGCCCAUGCAAAAAUUAUUAUCUCAAUUUUCUUUUUGUUUACAUGUAAAAAUAGUUUUAUAAAUUCCAUACACGUAUAUACAACCAAAUAAUUAUAUUUAUUAUGUACCACAUUAAUUGCAAAUUAUAUUUAACAACCGAUAACGACUAAUUUUACAUGUGGGGAAAAUAUUUUUCUAUAAAUUUAAUAGCUAUAGUUAUUUUUUAAGAAAAUAAAAUUAUAAUAAUAUGUAACAAUUACUAGCCAAAGCUCUACCGAAUUAAAACUAUAUAGAGCCAAGGGGUAAUUUCAAAAUUCUCUAUAACUGAGGGUGUUCGUAGUAUAAUUUUUUUCAAUUGCCUCAACUGAGUAUUAAUUCUCCUCCUCCCUCCUGAAUCGGAAGGGGAGAGAGAAACAGAGCACUUCGCUCCGAAGGAGCAAAGCGACCGUUGAAGUGGAUUUUGUCUCGAUCAUUAUUAGGGUUUGAAAUUCGAUUUGGGCGUUCGAGAGUCGGAAACAACCCCGAAUUAGGGUUUUGUUGUUCGCGUAAUAGUUUCGGGGAUCAAAGCAAAGCUUCGAAGGGGAAUUGGCUCUUGAUUUGGGGUUUUGUUAGGGUUUUUGGCUUCCGGUCUCUGCGUCGCGCGAUUCAAGAGAAAGCGACUUCGUAUGCUCCGUAAUCGCUGUUUCGAUCUCCUUUUCGAGCUAAUGCGGCUCCAAUUUCUUGUUUGAGGACGCUUUUUUUCUCCCACCCCCGCUUUCUUCUGGGUUCGGAGAAGUUUCGGGAACUGAAUAAGAUGAAUGCCCCAAUAAUUGGUAGGUUUUUCUCGCUUUUUGAAUGUAUUUUGUAUCUUUUGAGGUAAAAAUUUGGUUUUUCUUGGUGUUCUUUUUUAUUAAAUAUGAAGAUUAAAAAGGGAUUUAGGGAAAUUGAAGGCGUACCGAUUUUUUAAUUUGUUAUCGCAUGUUGUUGGUGGGUGAAGACCCGUUGCAGGGGGAUUUCCCUGAGGUGAUAGAGGAGUAUUUGGAGCAUGGGAACAUGAAAUGUAUCGCCUUCAAUCGCCGAGGAACUCUUCUCGCAGGUAUCCCUCUCUUUUUCCCUCUUCAUGUAUGCUUUCUUAUCAUCCUGGAACUAAUUUGUGGCUCCUGGAUUCAGAUAUGUAGAAAAGGAACAAUUUUUGAUGCAUUAGAUAGUGUCCUGCAUUAAGUAGACAAUGUUGCGUCUGUUACUUAGGUAAAGAAGGUUAAUAAAGGUUGAUUUGUAUGAAGAACAAUGACGCAAAUCUAAAUGUUGGAUCUGAAUGCUACAUUUUUCAUCAGUGUCUCUAAUAUCAAAGCAAUAUCAGCAAGCACUUCGGAUUUUAAAGUGGCUUUGUGUUACAAUUAUGCAAUUUUCUUUGUACUGCAAUCACAGUUGAUGCUAUAUUUGAAUCGGACCUACAAAUAGACGGACUAAAGGUUAACUUUUAUUUCUGUUGCUUUAUAAAAUUGUAUUUUGUUCUAUCCUAGUUGUGAUUAAAUAUAGUAUUAUUUAGUUAUGUUUGGUGUGACUUAGUUGAACAUACUUUGUUCUACAUGACCUCCUGAAGGUUUUACUCUAGGAUGCAUUUAUUUACAUCUGUGAGACUUUUUAUGCUUACUUUUUCACUAGAUUCAACAAUCAUCCCUGUUCUGUUUUCAUUUUCUACCUCAUGCAACCCAUCAUUUCUGCUCUUAUUACAUCGAGUAUCAUUAAUGCACUCUAACUCAAGACAUUAUAUAGGAUAUUGCAACAUAUUUCCUUGUUUAUGUGCUGACGCUAAGAACCUUGCCAUUUUAAUUAAUGUAUCCUGGAGGUUACAGUGACUAGUUAAGUGUAAUUUUCAUCUAAACUUCUGAACCCUUUAUCUAUUUAAUAGAAGUACCAGCAAUGUUCUUAUGAGAAUAAGGAUGAGCAAAGGCAAGAGUCAUACAUGUCCUGGAUUUCGGAAAAAACAAAAAGACUGCCUUGGUUGUUAUUUCAUUUCUUUUAUUUUUUGUUUUCCUCAUGUUAUUAUUUAAUUCUAUAUUCUGAAGUCGCCACAUCUACCUAUGAAGACCACAACGUAGUGCUGCACCACUGAAUUUAAAGAAAAACACCUGCAAGCAGCAUCAAAUUGCUUUUGACCAUUUACAGAAGUGGUUACAGCAGCAUGGCUGCAUGUAAGACAGUUGGCAGCUCGCCAGAAUAUGCUGAAGCAGUAACAGUUGUCCAUGGUCUGAAAAAAGCUAAGAAGGGCUGAUAGUUACCAUGCGGAGCUUUCAGCAGAGCAAGAAACACACUUAAUAGGAAGUCUGUGGGCUCUCAAGAGGGCUCUAGAGCUGUUGUUUUUGGUUUGUCGGACCCGAGAUUCACCAUUAUCUCUCUGUAAAACUGCAGCAAAGUAGUUUAAGGUUGUUUGGCUGGAGAAGCCGUUGCUUGGGCCUGGUCCAUCACGUCAACCAUGGACAACCUAUCCCAUCUCUCUCCCUCCCAUCUCAACUUCCAUUCAAAACCAUCCAAGUAAAUUCCACUGAAAGCAAUUUUAAUUUUCGAAAGAGGGAAAGGAUACAGAGAGACAGAGUAAAGACCGUGGAUGGAGAAAAUAAAGAAAAUGAAAGCUGAAAUAGGAGGAAAUGACCACUGAUAAUGUGACUGUUUCAUCCUUCACAAUAUAUGCAUAGAUCGUAUAGAUAGACAGUACAGCACAUCGUAAAUUGUUCGCAUCUCUCUGUCAUGUGAUAUGAAUAACAUUGUUUAAUUACUCUUUCAUAUGUAGACUCCUUCCAAAUUUAAAAAAAUUCUCAUUUACAGCUGAUAAUUUAAGCAGUUUGGUGCUAAUCUCGUAAACUUGUCUCUUAGUGUCCUACUUUUUGAAUAUCAAGUCUUGUUCUUCUUUUGCUAUUUUCAUUCAUUUAGUUCUUGUCUGGUAAUUUGUGGGAAGUUUCUAAUUCAGUCUGUGACAAACAGCCAACACCUCUGUUUAUCAGACCCUGACUGAGAGCAUUUUGAAAUGUGUACCCAGAUUUGUUUUCUUUAAAGAAAUGAUUUCACUACCUAGCCUUACAGUAUCUUUGAUUUGAGUAUCUGUCAGUUGCAGAUUAACCUUUGUGACAUAUUCAGAUUCUUGACUAAUCUUGUAUAAUGUCAAUGACAGAAACUGUUAAGUUUUCGCAGAUCUUUACAGAAUUUUCUGAAAUCAAACAUACUGUAUAAUCGGGUAAUGAAAUCAAAAUUUUAAAGUUUAGGUAGCUGUUUUCAGAUGCAUUCAUGCACUAUUCUCAAUUAAAGUUUAUAUGUUUUUGCCUUCCAAUUAUAAUGACCCUAUUGUUGAGAGUAGUUAUUUUGUUCAUUUGGUCUAGCUGGUUGCGCCGAUGGGAGCUGCGUAAUUUGGGAUUUCGAGACAAAAGGGGUCGCUAAAGAACUCCAUGACAAAGACUGUGUCGCACCAAUAACAAGUGUAUGCUGGUCCAAAUAUGGCCACCAAUUACUUGCCUCUGCCACUGACAAGUCUCUGACCCUGUGGAACGUGCUGAACGGGGAAAAAGUUGCCCGAAUAACUCUACAGCAAACCACUCUGCAUGCCAGGCUACACCCUGGCUCUUCUACUCCCUCUCUUUGCCUGGCUUGCCCGCUCUCCUCUGCACCCAUCCUUGUGGAUUUAAACACCGGGAGUUCCACCGUUCUCCCAGUUUCAGUUUCUGAUCCCAGCAAUGGCGGGCCCGCACCCCACCCGAGAAAUAAAUUUUCUGAUGGUUCUCCACCAUUCACCCCAACAGCUGCCACCUUUAACAAGCGUGGAGAUCUAAUCUAUGUUGGGAACUCCAAAGGCGAAAUUCUUAUAGUCGAUUCUAAGAGCAUUCAGGUACUUGCGAUGGUUCCCAUAUCAGGUGGCGCAGUGGUUAAGGACAUCAUCUUCAGUAGGAAUGGGCAGUAUUUGCUCACAAAUUCUAACGACCGAGUGAUUAGGGUUUAUGAGAACCUCCUCCCCCCAAAAGAUGCGGCGAAGGAGCUUGAGGCGUUGAAUAACAAUAACAAUAAUAACGACUACAAAGGGGCCAUGAAGUUGAAAGUGACUGGGUCAAAAUGUCUUCUACUUUUCCGGGAGUUCCAAGAUGCUGUGACGAAGAUACAGUGGAAAGCACCGUGCUUUAGUGGUGAUGGUGAGUGGAUUGUUGGUGCUUCGGCUAACAAAGGAGAGCAUAAGUUAUACAUAUGGGAUCGAGCUGGCCAUCUUGUGAAAAUUCUAGAAGGUCCUAAGGAAGCCCUGAUCGAUCUUGCAUGGCACCCUGUCCAUCCUGUGAUUGUGUCAGUUUCCGUGGCAGGAUUGGUGUAUAUAUGGGCCAAAGACCAUAUAGAGAACUGGAGUGCAUUCGCCCCCGAUUUCAAAGAAUUGGAGGAGAAUGAAGAAUAUGUCGAGAGAGAAGAUGAGUUCGAUUUAAAUCCUGACCCAGAACCAGUAAGUAAACAAUUCAGAAAAUAAAACUUGGUUAAUUACCAAUAUAGUUCCUUAAGUUUGACUUGGGUUUUCAACCUUUGAGUUUCUACAACAGCAAAUUUGGUUCACAAAGUUUGUUCCUGAAUUCACUUUUCAUCCUCGAAUUUUGAAUUCAAACCCUAGAAUUUGACCUUGGUUUAAAUUUCGUCCUCAGAGUUUCAAAUUUGAACAAAGAUAAGUAUAAUUAUGGUACUGAUGUGACAUUAUCUUGGUUAUUAGACUCUGCGUAUUUAAUUCUUACCGGGUGAAGUUCAAGGAGUACAAGACAAAAUCAAAAUCUGUGCCACGAAUCGAAUUUGUAAACCCAACAACAUGUUGUUAUUGGAUCCAUAAACAUGUUUUGAUUGCAUUGGCAAUGCUUCUUUUUUUUUUUCCAGGUGAAAGAGUUGGAUAUCGAUCAAGAUGAGGAAGUUGAUAUUCUAGCGGUGGAGAAGGAUACAGCUUUUAGUGAUUCAGAUGCCUCACAAGAAGAACUAAUUUUCUUGCCUGCAAUUCCUUCGCCGGAUGAACCGGAACAACAAGAUAAGUGUAUUGGGAGCUCAUCUAAAUUGGAGGACAGCAACCACUCUGAUUCACCCUUUUCAGUGGAUGCCGUGCAGAACCCAGCAAUGCCUACUGCUUCUAGUCCACUUGAAGGUAAAAAGAUUGUAAUUUGGAAGCUAUUCGACUCUGCAUGAUAUCAUCUAUGGUAAAUUAGUUUCAUCCUCAAAGUUUGAUUAUACAGGAUUCCAACUAAAACAAUUUAGGUGAAGAAAUUCCUUUCAUCUGACAAUUAUGUCCUUCAGUUAGUCUACCAUCUGGAAAAAAAAAAACUCUUUGGUAAUAUCAGUAAUGUUUGUUGACAAGGUGGAUUUUUUAGGUGCAGUGAACUCUAAUGAUGAUGAUUACAUGACAUCCUUUUUCAGUCGAUACAAUUAGCAUAAUUGGUACACAGGACAAAUUACAUGACUUAAUUUUGAGCACUGAAACUUUGGGGCUUAACUCAUUCUAGAGUCAAACUUGAGGGCUUAAAAAUAUGUGAAGUGGGUUUGCAAUCUCAUCUUCUUUCUUGUAACUCGGACGGGUUCUGAACUGGUUAUUGGUUUGGCUUUCAUCGGCAGUUGUAGAUAAUUCUGCUGCAGAAGAGGCAGCUGCUGCGACAAACAUGAAGCGGAAGAGGAAGCCAUCAGUAAAGGGACUGGAGCUGCAGGCUGAGAAGGGUCGGAAGCCCAUAGCUACAAAGGCGAAGCCCUCAGGGAAGUCGUCGAAAGCCAAGAACAAGAACGGAGAUGGGUCUGCUCUCGAGAUUGAGGAUGACGUGACUGAUGACAACCUGUAGAGUUUGGGUGCAAUAUACCUGCAAAUUCAUGUGCGACAAAUUCCUGCACACGGAUUGAGCAUGCAGCUCAUCAGUGUCAGGAUGCAUCCCAAACAUCUGAUAUGGACUGUUGGGAUGCAUCCUGUCAUUAAUGAGCGGUGGGAUAAUCCAAUUUGCAGGAUUUUUCUGUACAUGGGAGUGCACCGAUGAGUACCCGUAAACUUUAUUAACUUAUUCUGGAUAUUAUGUUAUGUAGUUUCUUCUUUCUGUACAUGAACUUCGGCAGUAUGUUAGAGGUUUGGACAAUUUUGGCCCCCCUCGAGCUUUUCGGACAUGUGUGAGUGAGUCUGAUUUAAGUACUAGCAUUUUUAACAUCAAAAUCCCCUAAACUGCUUCCAGCUAUAGAUAGUCGCAGAAGCUAUAAGCUUAAGCUUUUGAUUCAGAAGCCUCGAAAGCUUAUUUCAGUUUCGCACAAUUUAUGCGACUCUUAAUUUCCCAAAUACAGUAAUGCAGAAUUUUGGGAAGUUAGAUGAAAUAACCAUGAGAAAGCUAGCAAGUGACUGAUUUUUCUCAUGGCUAAGAAGCAAUGGUUAUUACUGUUUCUAAAGUUCGAAUUUUAAUAAUUUUAUUUCCAAGUUUGAACCAGAUCUCAGCUUCGCCUUAGCAGUUCCUAUUUACAAAGCAAAAAUUGACAGUGUUGCUUUUUUUUUUUUUUUUUACUUUUUUGAAGUUAAAAAAACCAGCAGUAGUUACUUGGCAUGUGGAACAAACUUUGUGGACUAAACUGCUUGAAUUCAAAUUAUAAGACAAAAUUGAAAUUGGGUGUGAAUUCCAGAGAGAUUAAAUUGCAUUUUUUUUUUUAUGGUACAGUGAAAUUUGUAAAUUGUAAGUAAUCAAUUUAGGAAAGAGAAAAAAAAAAUUUGCAAUUGGAAAUGAAUGCCUCGUGUACUUCCAAAAAUGCAGAGUUUUGUCUCUUAUUUGCUGAAAAUAUUAUUAUUAACAUCAAAACCGAGAAAUAGAAUAACAUGGGGACGUUUACAAGGAUAAAUAAUUAAGCGAAGGGGGGUAACUCUUUUUUGAAUUUUGUCCUUCUAUUUUGAAUUCUCUUCAAUCUACAGAAGAUAUAAAAUAGGAUCUGUUCAAUAAAAGAGGGGAAAAAAAAGGCUUUUAUUUAUAUACUUUUCAUUACUACUUAAAAUUUCUAAAUAUACUCUUCUAUUUCCAGAAUAUUCUUUCGAAUUCCAAAUUGCAUUAAUAAACCUUGAGAUUAGAAGUAUUUGAAUUUUGAAGGAAUAUUUGAAAAUCAACAAAGGCAUUUUGGUCCGCCUAUAAUGUAUUAGAUAAUUUUAGAGUUUUGAUAAAUAUAUUAGAUAUUAUUUUUUUUAAAAAAGAGUAAUAUGUUGCGGAAACCCCUCAACUAUGGGGCUUUUCCAGCUAGUCCCCUCAAUUUCAAUUCGUUUUACAAACAUCCCUAAACUUUUAACUUUUUAAUAAUUUUAUUCAUUAAAAAUAGUUAGAAUUAUUAAUAAAUAUCAGGUAAAUUAUAGAAAACUCUCUAAUAAAUAUCUGCUCUUUCACUCACUCCCCUUCCCAACUUUCAAAAGCUUAUAUUUUAUUCCACCAAUAUUUCAAGUUGUUGCAUUUGACCGCCCCUGUUAGGAUUUUUUCAUUAUUCCGGCCAUUAUUUAUAAUUUAUACCGAAAACAUCUUUCAAAAUAAUAAAAAUAUAUUAAAAAAAUAUUUUUUUAUAGAAAAAGUGAAGAUAAUUUGGUCAUUCCGUCAUUUCUAUUAAUACCAUACCCUCUAAAAAUAUUUUUUAAAUUUUUCAAAGGCAAAAUAUAGGUCAAGGAGGAAAAGUGAGAAUGUGAUUACUUACAGAAAAAUUUUUCAGUAAUUUAGUCUUUAAUUUUUUUUUAUAAAAAUAAGCAUAAAUAAAAUUAUUAAUGAAUUUGAAAGUACUUCACGUACAUUUCAAACGUGGCAUUAUGUAAUUGGUGGUCUUCGGUGUGGAGAGUCCACUCAACUUGUUUCGGUCUCGGACCAUCCAUCCAAUGUGGUCUCAUCGGGCCCCACACACAAAAGCCCGAAUCCUCCUCCUCCGUGUUCGUCGUCAACGUCCCCCCUCGCGUUUACCCCCCGACGAUCCCUUCAUGGCGGAGUAUGAGGAUCGCGCCACCGCUUCCUCCCUCCUCCUCCUCCUCCUCCUCUUCUUCUUCCGCUGCGGCGUCGUCGUCGGAUCCACCGAGGUCAUCGUCGCCGGAGGCGGCGGCGGAGGAGGAGGAGGAGCAGAAGCGCCGCUGGUUCUCCCGCUCGUCCUCCGCGCGGCCAACUCCUCCGCCUCCGCCGAUGAUCUCCUCCGGCGCCGCCGCCUCCGGAGGGAGGACUCGUACCUUCCGAACGCUCACAUGAGGCUCUACGACAAUCUCCUCACCAACGGGUGCGCCUCUCUCUCUGUCCCUCUCUCUCGAUCGAUCGAUCGCAUCUCUUAUUUGGGUGUUAAUUGCAUGGAUGAAUUGUUCCUUCAGGUAUUACACCACUCGGCUUUACAUCGGGACGCCGCCUCAAGAAUUUGCCCUAAUUGUGGAUUCGGGAAGCACGGUAACCUACGUUCCGUGCUCCUCCUGUGAGCAAUGCGGGAACCAUCAGGUGAGCUGCUAUUUUUAUUCUUAGAAGAAAUAUUAAUUUGUUGUUUUGUUUAAAUGAGCUACUUGGUUGUGUAAUAAUAGAUUCUGAUGUAUCCAAUGUAUUCCAAAACAAAUCGCCGUCCACGGUAUUUCUAUUCCAGGGAUAUAUGGUGAUACGGAUUUCACUGAAUUAGCAAUUCAAUGGAAGUUGCUUGUGGAAAAGGAUAGAAAUUAGAAUGAUAUGCAAAAAAUCAUCUAGGACUCGAUAAAACUUUAAGCAUCAAGUUACAUUAUUAUGAUAAGGUUUUAAGGUCCUCUAAGUGGUGUGGUCACAUCCAAUUUUGUGGUCCUGUUGGGCUGCAAAAACCUUUGACAGUUCAGUGAGAGUGUCCUGUGUAAUAUUGACACCAUGAUUUGCUCAGUUUUUGGCCACCUUUCAACACUUUCAAGUUGCUUAAUAACUGGAAUUAUACUUGAAAGCUGUACUUAGAAAAUUUUGCUUCUUCAAAUCUGAGUUCAAUUGAACAAUCAGAUAGUACCAACUCCACAUCUUAUAAGUAAAGAGUAGGUAUGUGAAGUGAGAUAAAUGAAUUGCAUUCCCUCUUCAUUCUCUUCUAAUAUGAGAAGUUGAGUUUAACUGCAUGGCCCGCUAUUUUCUACUUGUGUCAUUUAAAGGAAAAAAUAAUGAUUAUCUCAUGUUAUUUUACUGCGACAUGUUUUCUUCUUUUUCUGACUCCUUGUCUGAUUAUUAUUAUUAUUUUAAUUCAACAAGUUAUGAUGUAUUUUAUGUACUUUUACAUGCCUUCUCUCUUAUUGCAAAGUAUUGUUGAUAACUAGGACCCAAGGUUCAAACCAGAUUUGUCUAGCACGUACGAACCGGUGAAGUGCAACAUUGAUUGUACUUGUGACAAUGACAAGAAACAAUGUGUUUAUGAGAGGCAGUAUGCUGAAAUGAGCUCUAGCAGUGGGGUGCUUGGUGAGGAUAUUAUAUCAUUUGGCACAGAAAGUGCACUUAAGCCACAACGCGCUGUAUUUGGCUGUGAAAAUUCUGAAACUGGUGAUUUAUAUAGUCAGCAUGCUGAUGGCAUUAUGGGGUUGGGCCGAGGCCAGCUUAGCAUCAUGGAUCAACUUGUUGAUAAGGGUGUAAUAAGUGAUUCAUUCUCUUUAUGUUACGGUGGAAUGGAUUUUGGUGGGGGUGCAAUGGUUCUAGGUGGAAUCUCUUCUCCUCGUAACAUGGUUUUUUCCAAUUCUGAUCCAGUCCGCAGGUAUGAUACAGGAAACCUUAUACAAUAUUUUUUUAGGGGCAGGCUUAAUUCAUUUCCCAGCUUUACUCUUGUUAUAUUGUGGCAACAGCCCAUACUACAACAUUGACCUGAAGGAAAUACAUGUUGCUGGAAAGGCACUGCGGUUGGAUCCGAAGAUCUUCGAUAGAAGACACGGAACUGUCUUGGAUAGUGGAACCACGUAUGUCUAUCUACCAGCACAAGCUUUUGUGGCUUUUAGAGAUACUGUAAGACAAAGUUUCAUCCAUUUAUGCUAUGUUAAUUUCAUCUUUUAAAUGUUUUGAAAUGGCAUGUAGUUGAUUAUUUCAAUGUUCUGAUGCUUUUAAAACUUGGCCAACUAUUCUCCAAAUUUUGGAAAUUUGUAAACGUCAUUAUCAUUAUUGCAAGGGUUCUUGAAACCUGCAAAACAGGGAAUCAUUUCAAAGGCUUGAAGUUUGGCCUUUGAUGUGACUAUUAAAUUACAUUUCAAAUAUUCAUGGCAUUCUUUAAUGAUAGGUUUUACCUACAAAAUGCUUUAGUCCAAUAAUUUUACUAGGUUCCAUUCUUUUAGUGCAGUGUAAGAAUGCAUACAACACGUUCUUGAAUGCAUUAAGUUAUUCAUUUGCAAAUCAGCAGUUGUUUGCAUGUAAAUAGAUAUGCAUGUUUUAUAAAGUGCUACAAGGGUUGGCCUUCUGUGUGCUUUACGAGGUUGAAUCAUGUGAGAAUCUUUACUUCAGUCUCCUCUGUUUUCUGUGACAUGAAUUUUUUCACAUGAAUAUUUCUUCCCUCUAACGGCAUCAUACAUGUUAUCUUCAUGAUGAAUAUAUACUAUGUUCUUGCCAAAAACAAAUUAAUUGCAAUGUAUACACCUGAAAGUUUAUAUGGUCGGCACUUUUACCAAUGUUUAUUUCUGGUUUCUGCUGCGGCUUUUUUGAUGGCCUAGAUCUUAGUAUCUUACACCUAUGCCACCAUGUGCCAACUGAAAGCUUACUGGAAUCUUCCCCUUCUAUUAUAAUUCAUUUGUGAUUUUGGAGACAGUUACAUGACAUGCCUUUUCUUUCUGGUAUUCUCUUUCUUGUCAUGUUUGACUGCUUUUGUUGUUAUUGAUGUUUGUCAUUAUGGGACUCUCUCUCUCUCUCUCUCUCUCUCUCUCUCUCUCUCUCUCUCUCUCUUAUUUCUGUGUGAUGAGGAAGUACUUCUGUCAAUGUUAUCUGCUCACCUUAUAGUUUCCCUUUCAAGAUGAAUUUGAUACCCUGGAGUAUUUGCUUGUGAGAUUAGCUAAUUAAUGUACUAAUACUUUGAUUAUUUACAGAUAAUGAGCAAGCUACAUUCACUGAAGCAAAUACGUGGACCAGAUCCAAAUUACAAAGAUAUCUGCUUUGCUGGUGCUGGAAGGUAACGUGUUUUAUUGUGAUACAGAAAUGUUGAAGUUUCAAAUGUACUUCUUGGUCCACUAUUUCUUGAUUCAUAAUCAUGAAUUCAAUUGCUUCAGAGAUGUGUCCGAUCUGUCAAAGACCUUUCCGACUGUUGAUAUGGUUUUUGGGAAUGGACAGAAGUUGUCCCUUUCGCCUGAAAACUAUUUAUUCCGGGUAACAUAUAUUUGUUUCUGUGAUAAUCAACAUAUAGUACAAAAAGUUCCUGCAAAUUGGCUUGUUUCAUUGCUAUCUCAUGGUAUGGUUUUCCUGUUCUAUUUUCGAUUGGCUAUCAACUUACCUUCUUUUCUUUGUUUUUUAUGUUGUUUGAAAUGAAGCAUUCAAAGGUUGAAGGUGCCUAUUGUCUGGGAUUCUUUCAAAAUGGAAAAGAUCCAACAACACUUUUAGGGGGUAUGCUUAUCUCUUUUAGGAACUCAUUAAAUAUGACUUAUUAUGUUUGCUUACGUUAGCCCUGCCAUGCAUUUGCUUUGUCAGUGAUAUUCAUAAUGUCAGCUAACGACUACCCAUGCUACAUCCAUAUCAAGAACUUUCUCUCAGUUCUAUAUCAGUUUUAUAAGUUGUUGGAUGUUUCAUGCUUAAAUGCGACAACUAUUUGUACUGAAUUUUCAAUUGAUAGGAAUUAUUGUCCGCAACACUCUUGUAACUUACGAUCGCCAGCAUGAAAGGAUUGGGUUUUGGAAAACAAAUUGUUCAGAGUUGUGGGAGAGACUGCAAACGAGUAAAGCCCCUUCACCAGCACCUUCAUCUUCCUCUUAUACAACUUCAACCAUAGAUUUAUCGCCAGCUUUCUCUCCUAGUGGAGUAGACUCUGUUCUGCCAGGUUUAUGAUCUGCCUUCUUGCACAACCUCUUUAUGUCAGUUUUUUUUGAAACUUAGUAUAAGUUGCUUUAUAGCCUUAGCUCAGCAUCAUACAUGAUUUAUUUUUGCUCAAAAAACUUGUAUUCUAUUUUUGAAUAUUCAAUUUACCUCUCAGUUUUUCAGGAUUGGACUGUGUUUAUCCUUUCCUUUUGAUUUAUGAAGAAUAAUAUGUCUACGAAGCAUGCAUCAACAACAGGGCUCUUUUCAUCUUAUCUCUUUGCAGGUCAAUACCUAGUUGGGCUCAUCACCUUCGAUAUGUCCAUAAAUGCUACAUACUUCGACCUGGUUAGCCACAGUGCAGAAUUAGCUGAGCUUAUAGCCCAUGAGCUGGAAGUUGAUUCACAUCAGGUAAAGUAGAAAUUGUGCAAUUAAAUAGUAUAUCAAGAAUAUGCCAUACUUUACAUCCUUGCUCAUGAUAAGGGCCAUGCCCUUACACGUAUCUGUCAGUGGUAGGAAUAGAUUGUUGAUUUUACCAAACUUCCAAGAUUUUCUUUGUCGACAUGCGUUGUUUAUUUCUCAUAAUUGUGCCUUGCAAACUGAUGUGGAACUCUUUGUACUUUUCUGCAUUGGCUUAAGGCAGUAAAUUAACUAUUUACAGGUUCAUAUGAUGAAUAUUACAAGUGAAGGAAACCGUACCCUGAUAAGAUGGGCUAUUUUUCCUGAUGGAUCAGCUAAAUUCAUUUCUAACACAACAGCAUUGGUAAUACUAUAUCUCGCACCUUUAUUGGAAGCUACCUCUAGUGUCUUUGAUUUAUGGAGCACAAGAAUUACGAGAAGUGUGAUUUUACGCAGGGCAUUAUUUCUCGGUUGACUGAACACCGUGUUCGCCUCCCCGAAAAUUUCGGCACUUAUCAGGUUGUUGAGUGGAAUGUUGAGCCUCCAUCAACAAGGUAUUAAAAUCUCAGUUACAGUUUUUGAUUCGUAUCAGUUUUCUCGUGUCAUUCGUGUUGGAAAGUUUAGCAUCCUCUUUGGAAACAGUUGCAACCGAGAACAUGUCAUUACUGGUUCAAUUAUUCAAUAAGACAAAUAUAAAUAAAGGGAAAUGAAGUUUGUUAACUAAAACUUUGGCGACAAAAUCAGGUAAUAUCUUCCUUAUAUGUCGUGACGGACUAAAAGUGUAUGAUAAUUUAUCUUGUUAUUGAUUUGUGAUUAAUCAUUUUGUAGGACAUGGUGGGAACAACAUUUAGUAGGUGUGAUAAUUGGGGUUUCAAUGGUUGCUAUGCUUUCGGCUCUCUCAGUGUGGCUCCUCUGGAGAAACAAAAUUAAAGGACCAGGUUCAUACAGGCCGGUGAACGCUGUUGUUCCAGAACAAGAGCUUCAACCAUUAUAGUACAAUGGCUUGGGAAUCCAAGUAUACAGCAAUCAGAUGAUUCCUGCCGUAACAACUGAUGUAUGAUAUAUCAAAUUGAAUAGUUUCUGGCUGGGCUAGCCUUUGCUUUCUGCCUUAUACAAAGCUUACAGAAGAGAAAGGGGACCGACUGCAAUUUGCCUCAAUUCAAAAGGUCCGUGUGCAUAUGCCGCAAAGUACCAAUCUAGCAGCCAUUAACAAUGUUGGUUUAGAUUCGGAAGUAGUGCAGGUGAUAAUGUAACACAUUCACAGGAUGAGCGAACACUUCAAUAGAAACAAGCUUAUAAACGGCUCAUCGAACCUUUUCACCAACAGAAUAUAAUUUUUGGUCCUCUCUAGAUGCUAUUUAGAAGUUAUCUAAAUUUUCAAGAAACUUAAUGAGGUAUGAACUGCUGCCGCUCUCCAGAAUGUACGGUUUUCUAUUUUCUUUUGUAUCUCUUUUUCGUGAAUACCAACUCUCUAUAGUCCGUGCCCCCCAAAAGAAAAUUGUGGGCUGUUUUAUUAUUUGGUAACUUCUGCAAUCCUUUUAGAUGCAUUUAUAUCAUCUUCCGUAAUUUUAGAGGUUAUUAUUGCUUUGUUUGUUAAUCUUCAGGACUCCUUUCUUGAGAGACCUCCAAGCUAACGAUUCUGUCACUGUCACAAUGCAGAAACCAGAUUUACGUCAUUUGGAGCUUUCAUGUACUAAUUUUAUAAUUUUUCAAUGCUAUCUAUCUAAUGAUGGAAUUGUGUCUAAAUUGACGUAUAACAGCUGAACUAUCUAGAUCGAGAUCAACACUCUUUUUACGCUUUUGAGGAAAGGAUUCUGAUGAACCCGCUUGAUCUUAAAUUGAAGAAUUCUGUCAUUUGACUAGUUGUUUUAUGAAACUCGUUGCGCGGUAAAAUAAUUCACAGAAAAUUAUAAGAUUCUGAUUGUUAGAGAGUUGAAAAAGUAUCUCAAGGAACUCACCUGUGCACAUAGAAAUGAAAUCAUUAUCUUGUUUCCUCAGAAAUAUUAGCUGUGGACCUCUCUUGUUUAGAGUUUAGACCCUCUGAACAAUUCGUGCCGCAUGCGUUUGGUACUGUGCACUAAUAAAAGCCUAAAACCUGAGUACACAAUUGUCAACCGGGUUAGGUUAUCCAGCAUUCCAGCGGCUUACAAUCCAUACAAUUAUUAAUUUGGCAGCGUUUGGUUAGGAGAUAGGAAUAGGAAUAGGCCAUUAUCCCUCCUUUAUACUCAAACGUUAAUUUUUUAAUCGAGAAUAGUAGUUCUCGGUUAUCUCCACCAACACCUCCAUUUUCUAUAUAAAACUACCUAAAAUUGUUCUUAUUCCCGAAAACAAUCCAAUUUUCAUCCAAACACUAUUUUUUUUAUCCCCAUACUUGUACCUAUUCCUGUAAUAGCUAGUUCUUGUUUAUACCCGAAUCAAACGAUACCUUAUUACAAAUCCAGCCUUGAAACCUCGUGUUUGUUAUAUCUCAGGUGAUGCCCAACAUAUAUAAAAAAGGGAAAAAUAAAAAAAAAAAGUAAAAAUGUGUAGAGACUCCCUCACCUAUAUCCCAUUCUAAAAUAGUCCCUCUACCUUUGUGUAUUUAUUUAUUUAUUUUUUUUCAAUUGAGAUCCAGUCGACUCUAAUUUUUCGAAACUAAGGCUCUGUUUAGUGUUGAGGCUUAUUUGACACUAUUAGAUAUACGAAAAUAAAUAUAGUAUUUUUUAUCAUACUUUGUUACCGCACGUAACGUAAUUUUUCUGCAAUCUUAAAUGAAACCUAAGUGAUUUUGGUCAAAUUAAGUGAUUUUACAAACUAGGUCAACUAAUGGAUAAUAACUAGUAAAAUCAUUAAAUCUUGUAAAAUUUUUAACUUAAUUAAGUACUAAAAAUAAAUUAAAAAAGAAUUAGAAGUUGAGAGGAUCAAAAUCAAAAGCAUAAAAGUUGAGGGAGCUAUUUACGAAAGCGCUGUAGCUGAGGUUGUUGAUGAUGUGGCAUUUAAUAAGAUAUAAAUAAGGGUUAUUAAUCAAUAAUAAAUGUGCAAAAUAUUAAUUAUAGAGGCUGCAUAGAGAUUCUCUUGAGUGAUUAAUUAACUUGUCCAGCAUGGGAAUUGCAAUAAUUUUAUCAAAGGAUUAAGAAAAUGAUACUACAAAAUAUGGGAUUGCAAUCUCAUGCUGGAAUAGAAAAAUUAGGGGAGAAUCUCUUGUUGGAUUAGUUUUGUUUUUUCGUUCCCCAACCAAAAAUUGGAUCCCAACCUUGGAAUACUUUAAUAAAUUAUUUGAUAUGUUGAUAUUACAUCCAAUCAUAAUGUUUGUGGUUAAAUAAUUAAUGUUUAGAUGUAAUAAUGACAUCAACAACAUUAUAGCCUUAUUGGGUACCUUCUAGAGUACAUGUAGCAGCAUUCAUUUUACCUGAAGUAGCAUAUUGUGUGUUGUUCCUAAAUUUAAAGAAAUGAAUUUAGUCAAAAAUAUAAAUUACUUUACCAGAUUUUGAGCCUGAAACUUCAGAUAUCAAACAUCAAGUGUUUCGUCAUUGUGCUUUUUUUCAUUACCAUCCCGUUGGCACCUUUUUUUUUUGCAGAAACAUGAGACCUAUCUGAAGAGAAAAGUAAAACCGGAUCUGAAUCCGAGCGAAUUCCUUUUUUCGAUAUUUAGAAAUAAAAAAUUUGAAUUCUUUAUAUCCUCAAGAUCACACAAUUACUGUAAAAAACAAUAACGAAGAAAUAGAAAAUUUUUACAAGAGAGAGAAAAAAAUAAAUAAGAGUUCAUUCACCUCAAAUCUAGCAAAAUUUUAUAAAUUUUUGGAUCUUCCUUCACAUAUUUCUUGCUUUUGAACUUACCCAAAAAGAUUUGAAGUAGGUAAAUCGUAAAUAUGAUAAAAUCGCAAGAAAGGCAUUUUAUAGUCGAAACUAUGUAGUCAUUCUCUCGGAAAAUGUCAUUUUAUCUUUCUAGAUAAAAUAUUCUAGCCUAGUAAAUUGUUUUUCCUAGUAGGUAAAGUGUGUUAUCCUAGUAAAUUAUUAUUACUAAGAAUAUUUUUGUUCUUGUUGUCAAAAUAUGUUAUCCUAGAAUAAAUUAUUUGUUAUAAAAAUAUUUAUAGCAUGAUUGUAAGUAAGGAAUUUAAUUUUUGCUCCUUUAAAACUCUUGAUAUCUAUGAUUAUGUUAGAUGGUAUACUUGGUCUACGAGACAAUUUUUCGUACUCUCAAAAAAAUUAUUUAAAAGCUAAAUAUAAUAAUCCCAUUUAGGAUAUAAAUUAAAAAAAUAUACAGAAUAAGAUAUUCUUACAUCCAAAUACUGUUUUCAAAGAGAUAAAAUAAGAACCGAAAAAAAUGAUCAUCGGCUCUAUUUGGAUGUCAGAAUAAGCUGAGGGUAUUUUAUUCGGUACGAGAGUUUUUAAUAUAUAUAAUUGAAAGUUAAAGAUACUUUGCAGAAUAAAAUAAAUUAUUUUAUCGAUAAAAUAUACAAUCAUAUCAAAUUAUGUAUAUCAAAAUAAAUAAUUAUUGAAUAACUUAGCAUUUAUUUUGGUACCAAAGUUAUGAGAUUAUUCCAAAUUUCUUCUCAUAGUUGUACAUAAAUCGACCUUUCAACUUCGGUGGGAUUAGAUCCAUCAGUGGAGAUUGACCGUUAAAUUCGAAUUGGACGGCCCUGAUAGAGUAGCCCGAGUUAAUUAUCACCUUAAACAUACUCGUUUGCUUCCGCUAUCACCGUAGCAAGAUUCUUACGACUGUUUCGAAAAACUGAAAAAUUGCACUAAAGUUCCUAAACUCUCAAAUAAAUUUUAUGUUAUUUUUAAAUUUUUUAAAUUCAAUACUUAGUUUUCAAAAAAAUUUUAAAAAAAAUCCUAUUUAAUCUAUUGGCUCUCUGUUUAGAUAAGCGUUUUAAAAGUUCUAGGAGCAAAGUGCAAUUGAUAAAAUGUUAGGGACCAGAAGUGCAGUUUACCUAUUUGAAAACUGAAAUUUAUUAAUAAUAACAUCAAUAUAACCUCAUCAUUAUCAUCAUUAAUCCUUGGUUCCACACUAAUUAUAUUUUGUAAUUGAAAAAGAAAAAAAAAAAAAACUGCUAUGAUAGCGUGUGUAGAACAAUUGAGUAAUUUAGAAGUUUAAAUGAUUUCUUUUUUGAGAAGUAGCUGGUACAGUACAAAAUAUAAUCAAUAAUUGCAACCAAUAAAUAUCAAAACUGAAGGUGUUUUCUUGACGGGGCACGAGGGACGACCGAACAAGCAAGAUUUAAAGCCUACGAAUAUUUUUAAAAGUGAAGGUGUUUUCUUGACUUGUUCUUAAGAGAAGACUUUUUAGAGCAGAUAAUUUUGUAAAAAGAGGAUGGUCUGGCAACACAUCUUAUGUGUUGUGUGGGGCUGAUGUUGAAACUGUGGACCAUCUAUUUUUACGGUGUGUUUUUACUCGUAUUUUUUUUGGUGAUGUCGGUGGAGGAUGCCCUUUGUAGGGAUCCGGAUGACGACGUGGUCUUUGUUUGGGUUAGAUGGAUGGCGGGGAAUAGAUCGCGACCAUAUCUUAAUAGUUUGAGUCGUUUAGUAGCUUGAUGGUGGGUUACCUGAAAGGCCGGAAAUGGCACGAUUUUUCGCAACGCCCUACUGAACCGCGUGUUGUUAGUCUCCAAGAUCAAACUAUUGACAAACUCUUGGAAACAAGCCUUCUCGACUAACCGAGUCUAAUGUUUUUUUUCUUUUCUUUUCUUUUCUUUUUUUUUCAUGCCGUCUCGCGUCUCUUUCGAGGCCUUCAAUGUCUCAUCCUUGUUGCUUAAUUCAUAUUUACAUUGAAUGAAGCGAGUAUCGUACUAUCUAUUUCUUAAAAAAAAAAAAAGCAAAACUAGUCAUAUAUAAUUAACCUUUUAAAAUUUUAUUCAAACUAAUAUUCGGAAACUAGUUUGCAGUAUUCUAAUUUUGGAUUCUCAGCGAAUUCUCGAAACUCAGAAUGUAAAUAUUUUGUAGUAGGGUAGUUCGGUGUUACACUGGGAACUGGUAUUAGCAAAAUAUAUUUUUAAUAAAAGUAUAUUGAAUUUAUUGAAUGUAAGCAGAUUUAGUUGAUAAAUAAUAAUUAGAAUUUAAUUAAUAAAUUUAUAUAUAUGUGGAAAUAAAAAUACGAUGGGUAACAUACACGUUGUCCAUAUUUUAAGGUGACCGUUGGAUCUUAAUGCAGGAAAUUCUCGUGCAUGUAGAGUGGGAAAAUAUUUGGAACCAGAUAUGGUCCUAAUUAUUUUAUACUGCAUCAUUCGGAAUAUAUUUUUUUAUUGUUAUAAUAAUCUCCAAACUCUCUCUCUCUCUCUGUCUCUCAACGGUUACCUUCUUCGCUUUUUCUUUUUUUCUUUUUCUUUUUUUUUUUGGUUCUUUUUUUUGGGUUAGGAUUCCUCUCAGUUCAAAUCUACUAUACAUAGCGCACAAAUUUUCCCUUCUCUUGAAGCGCAUUUCCACAAACACUUUGCGUGCGUGCGUGCGUGCGUGCGUUUUGGUUGGGGGGCGAUGGAUAAGAAGAAGAAGCAGGGCUUCUUCUCGGCGCUGAAGGAGGAGGUGGCGCGGGGCCUCUCUCCGGGGCGGUCGCGGCCGAGGAGCCCGGGGAAGGCGGCGGCGUCGGGGUCGGCGGCGCUCUGCGUCAUUCCGCGGCGGCGCAAGGGCGCCCGCGGCAGGAGCCGCUCGCCGCGGAGCACCGCCGCGCGCGAAGCCGGCGAUGACGAAGAUGAGCGAGAUCCGGGAGCUCCGCGCGCCGGAGGCCCUGCGCCGCUCGUGAGGGCCCGACGGGACGGCGUGCGGCGGCGGGGGAGAGGAGAAGGGCGGAGGGAGGGGUGGGGCGGGUGGGUCCGAGGUUUUCAGCUGGGGCGCACGCCUUCAUUCUCCGCCGCCGCCGCCGCCGCGUGCGGCGGAGGAGGAGGCGGCGCCACGGCGUCUCGCCGCCGCGGCGGCGGCGGCGGCUCCGAUCUCCGGCUCUUGCUCGGCGUCAUGGGCGCCCCCCUCGCCCCCGUUCAUGUAGUCUCCGGAGACCCUCUCCCCCCUCGCCUCUGCGUUCAAGACGCCUCCAUUGUGAGAGCUUCCACUUCUCACCCCACCCUAUUUGUUCAAUUUGAACUCUCUCUCUCUCUCUCUCUCUCUCUCUCUCUCUAGAGAAGUUUCUAAUUUCUGAUCUGCUACUCAGAGUUUCAAAUUCUUACAUACAUCUCUCUAAAUUUCUGAAAAGUUUAUGAAUUUAUUCUUCUCUGCUCAGCUGACCAUUUAAAUCUGAUUUUUAUUUUUAUUUUCAUUUUUUAUUUUUGUUGGUUUGGUGGCUCUUUGACCCUUAAAAGGUAUUAUUAUUCUUAGAAAUACUUUUUCAUCAAUUAAUUUUCUAUUUUGGCUAUCAUUCUUGUCAUCUUCUGUGAAUUCUAAGGUUCAGAAUUUUCAAAAUUAUUGGAAGAUAUAUCUUUUUAGGAGUCCACGAAUGUUAAUUUUAAAAUCAUCAACCACUUGGCGCUUAUAAAUUUUUCAUCAUUAGAUCUAUCUUUUUUACCAAUUAAAUCUCUUAAAUUUUACUAUUCCACCAAUCACCCACUCGACUUUAGAGGGCCACUAUAUUUCUAACCCUAUAAAUCUUCAUUCAAAAAUUAAAAAUCUAUAAAUACCAAUGACUUGGUGUUUUUAAAAGUAUAGAAGUUCAAUUCAUAAUUUUAGAAGCAUUAUGAAUAUUUUAAAACACUGCACUUAUAUCUUAUUGACGAGUUUAGUCUCCAUAAUGUAAAUUUGUCAACAUAUUAGUAAUGCAUAUUACUUGUCACUGAUGUGUCGCGCCUAGUCCAAUUUAAGCUCAAAUAAGGGUUCGAACUUCUAAUCUUACUGAUUCCACAUCAUAAAUAUCUAUAUAUCAGCAAUAUAUAAAGAUAAUAUUUUAUAAAAGCAUAAACUUUAACAACAAUGUUUGUAAAUUAAAAGAACACAUUGUGAAUACGUGUGUAAUUUUGCUGUUUUACUCGGACGCAUGCAUGUAUGCAUGCCUGCAGAUCCCCCCAUAUUUCAGUUCAUCGAAGAUUGUAAAUUUGUAAGUUUUGUUUGCAACAGGAGAGAUCUUCGGCACAGUACAUACUGCAGCAGUACACUUCAGCAUCCCGAGGGCUGAAGCUGCUGCGUUCCGUCCGGAGCGCCUACGCCAUGGGGAAGCUGCAGAUGGUGGCCUCGGAAUUCCAGCAGCCCACGGCCACCAAGAGCUGCGGCGGCAUCGGCGGCUCGUCGAGGGCGGCCGCUGCGCCCACUGCCGUGGCGUCGGGCGGGUUCGUGCUGUGGCAGAUGGCCCCGGACAUGUGGUACGUCGAGCUCGCGGUCGGCGGCUGCAAGGCCCGCGCGGGCUCCGACGGCGCCUCGUGUGGCGCCACACCCCCUGGCUCGGCGUCCACGCCGCCAGGGGCCUGUCCGUCCCUCCGCCGCGCUCUCCAGGUUUUUUUUUUUCAUUAUUUUUUUCUAUAUAUAGUAUAUAUAAUAUAUAUAUAUAUAUAUAUAUAUAUAUAUAUAUAGGUGGAAGCUACUAUGCUUUUUAAGCUAGCUCAACGUAAUUGUGAUUUUCUUUUGAUAUAUUUUACUCGAAAAUAAAAAAAAGAAAAAAAAUCCACUUUGAGUAAUCUGCGCCAACUGUUCGACCAGGGCCUGGACCCCCUGACCACGGCAAACAUGUUUGCGGGAGCACGGUGCAUCGGCGAGAACAGGAUCGACGGCGAGGAUUGCUUCAUCCUCAAGCUCAGCGCCGACCCCAAAACCUUCAAAGCCCGGAGCGAGGGGCCCGCGGAGAUCAUCCGCCACGUGCUCUUUGGCUACUUCAGCCACCGGACCGGCCUCCUGAUCCACAUCGAGGACUCGCACCUCACGCGCAUUCAAUCGAACACCUGCGCUGACGCAGUUUACUGGGAGACCACCAUCAGCUCCUCGCUUAACGACUACCGCCCGGUUGACGGUAUAAUGAUCGCGCACUCGGGCCGGUCGGCGGUGACCCUGUUCAGGUUCGGAGAGGCCGCGGCGAGCCACACGAAGACGAGGAUGGAGGAGGUGUGGACCGUCGACGAGGUGGCGUUCAAUAUCCCCGGUCUUUCCGCCGGCCGAUAUAAAUAUCGGUUCGGUCGGCGACAGCUGUGAGCAGCAGCUCUCGCAGGGAGUGAGGCCGCGGUCUGGGGCUACGGGCCGUGCCAAGGUUUUCGCGGCAGCGGAUAAAUUACAGGAUUAAAGAUCACAUAUGAAGAAUCAACAACACUCUUCUUUUUGAUAGAGGAAUCAGAAUCAAUUUAGUUUGUUCAUACUAGUUUGUGUUCUAUUCUAUUGAUUUAGAGGAGUUCAGUAGGGGAGCUACCCUCUGUAAAUAGGAGUGCAACCGUAUAAGCUAUAUAUAUAACAAACCCUAAAUGAGAAACAUCAGUAGAUGUAAUAUUGCUUCUUCUUUUAUCUUUUUUCUUUUUCUUUCCCUCCGUUCAUUUAUCUUUUCCUCCAUGAAGAAAUGUAUCUCAUCCUUUAAUUUUCAAACCCUAUAUUUGAAUAUUUCAUUUCAAAUCGAUUUCCCUCCAUGAUGCUGAGCUCAUCUUUGUCACUAGAUUGUCUCCUUUUUUGUCUGAUGCCCUGGGGGCAUACACAUGCUUGGUUAAUUUUACGGAUAAAGGAGAAGGGUCCACACAUUGAUGUUUAAAGGUGUUGGGAUGAUGUUGUUGGUGUGGGUGGUGAUGCAUUUAUGCAGGCCUUAUUAGGCUUUAUUGACCAGGUGACUUUUUAGUACUAAUUAGGGUCCUCAGGAAUGUCCUAUUUAUGAACUGGUGAUGUAUUGAAAACAUUAGUAUUAAAUGCUUUUAAUUAAUUUAUAUAUACAGUCUAAUACAUCGUAUAAAUUUGUCAGUAUAUCCUACAUAAAUUUGUGAGAGUACAGUAUGUUAGAACAUUAGAAGCUCCUUGUGGGAGUAGUGUGUGUAAAAAAAUUAGUCGUCUCUAGCAAUAUAUAAUAUGGUUUCUCAUCUCAAUCAUUGCAUUUGGUUAUUUUUAAUCUAGGAAAUUCAAAAAGUGAGCCCCUAAGUCACUGUUAAACAAAAAAAAAGCUGCUCCUCUCACCUUUUACAAAAACAUCUACUUAUUAGGGAGCCUAACUUCCUAGAUCUAAUUUAAGCAGGAAAGUAAUCUAAGAUUCAAAUGAUCAAAGCAAGCACUAAAUUUUUCUCUUCUUUUUAUCAAGUUUCAGUCUAAUUAAAUCAACUUUUAGUUUGAUGAACAUGGCAUCAAGUAGCUUAAAGAGUCACUGAAUAAAACUUCUUAACUUUUGGCAUUAUUUAAGCUUCUCAUGCAGCUGGAGUUUGAAGUAAUAACAUUUCAGGAUAAUGCAACUCUGCCAAAAUCCUGAAAUUGUAAUGUACUUUCUAUCACCAGAGAGAAACAAAGUUAACAGAAGAUCCAUUGAAAGCUUGGCAUACUUUACUAUUCAAAGAAUCAGUGAAUUGAAAAAGGAAAAUGAAAUUCAUUCUUCUGAUUUAAGAAAAGAUCAACUCAAAUACAGAGGGUAGCUGUUUUUCUCAAAUUACCACAAUUAUAAAGUGAAAAGAUAUAUUACCCUCUUGAUUCAUAAAACAUGAUAACAAAGUUGAGUCUGUGAAACAAACAUCAUCAGAACUAACAACAUUACAAUUGCCACAAAAAAAAAAACCCAGAGAUACAAAGAUGGUAAUUUGACAUAUAUAUGCUCAAAAAUAGGUGAUGCAUCUAAAUUCCUUUCUCUUCUCAUAUUUUACACUUGACUAUUUUCUACUGUUAUGCAGUACACGCAGAGCAAAAUAUCGACCUAUUCUUGCGCAAUGACGAAGAUAAUGCCAUGGCUUCAGUAGUAGAAAUUAGAUGAUGCAGCAUGAAUGCUUUAGUUAUAGCCAUGGCUCAUGUAGCCCAGUGAACUGCUCUCGAAAAGCAGAUAAAAAAAAGGACUACGAUACGAAUUUAUCUUACAUUUUGUUACUUCAUGAAGUGAGGAUUAAGCAACCCUGAGAUCUCAAGAAACCCAACGCGAUCCUUUCCUCCAAAUAUCUUCUUCAGCUUCUCAUCACAGACUACUAUCCUUUUGUUCUCUGGGUCCUGUUCACAAUUUAGAGGGGGGACAAAGUAGUUAUAACUUGUAACAAUUGUCAAAUAGUAAAAAAAUUAUACAAUCUCGUUCAAGAACAAUUGCCUAUUAAUAGUAAACACGGCUGAUACAAAAUUUGCGUAAGAGGAUAAAUGCACAUAGUAAGAAAUAGUUUUAUGAAUGAAAAUAGGCUCGAACGAUUGUAACUGCUUUCAAUGUCAAAACGUCAGCAAGGAAAAAAAAAAAAAAAUCAGAUUAUCCAACUUCAAAAGGUUAAGUUACAUAAAGCCAUAAGAGAGAAAAGAGUGGGCACAACGUUGGUUUGCAAAGGUUUGCUUCUAAUGCAAAUUUUCAUGUAAGUAGAAUGGCACUUCGAUAAAUACUUGUAGCUAAUACAUUUUGUGAUCUCCGGCAUAAAUAUAAGCUCUAAAAUUGAAUACGAAAAGGGAGUUUUAAUUCAUAGAAAGAAGCAUUUAUAAAACUGGGGUUUAAAAUUUUAACUCAAGGUGAAUGUCCUGUGUACAUUUUAACAGGGCUCUUCACCGAAGCUGUAGCUUUUGCGGUGGUGCAAGGCUUCGCUCUGGUGCAACUUUAAGUAUUUUAAAAACUACAUGUUCCAUAUUUGUGUUGCUUUAAGUGCCUGGAGAUUAAAAUUCAGCAGCUCAAGUUUCAUCCAGUUACAAAAAUAAUUCUUUCUAUUUCACACUUCUUGAUUGUUUCUUUUAAUUCCAAUUUGAUGCAUCAAAUAAAGUACUUAAAAUAACUAACAUUCAACUAAAUAUUGUCAACAUAAACACUCACUAAUGCACCGUUUUGCACCUAAUUAAAAGGAUUAAAAGUGACUUGAGAAAAGCAGAAGCUCAGUGAUUACCUUUUGCUUUAUCAUCCCAGGAUAAAGAAGAAUUAGCGCAAAUUCGAUCUAUAUACUAUCUGGAUACUACGAUAUAGAGUUCUAAUUGUAGAUAUAAUUGUAAUCGCAAUCCUUACCAUUUUCUUUUGAUCAUUAAUUAAGAAAAAAAAAAAAGUAACUGUACAAUGAUUAUGAUGACCCUGUCAUCAUCGCAUCAAAUAUCAGAAGCACGAUUAAACCUAAAAGCAUCAUCAAAAAAGAGAGAGAGAGAGAGAAAAAAAAAUAGAAGAGAACCUGGAGAUUGUUCUCCUUGAUGUACGCCCAAAUCAGCUUCAACGCCUGGGUCCUCGGAAUCUCCUUCACCCCCACGAGCUCCUGGAGCUCCGGUGAUAUAGGCCGCGGCUUCGUGAUGCCCCUCGGCCUCCUCUUCCCCGCCUCCGGCGCGGCCUCCGCCGCGGUCGCCCUCGCCGCCCACGAUCCUCCGCCCUUCGCGCGCACGGCGGCGGGCAAAAGCGCGGGUGCCCGGCGCGUGAGCGCCGCCGCCGCCGCCGCCGCCGCGUGCCGCGGCGGAUCGCCGGAGACGAAAGCGGCGGAGAAUGUCACAGUCGCCAUGAGUGGAGCUCCGAUCGAGUUCGAAGAGGGAGGAGGGGAGAAGCGCUUCAAAUGCGAGGGAAGGAACGAGGGUUUCUGAUAAAGGAGCUCAUCAAAUGGACGGCGGUGAUCGAGUCGGGGCUUUGGUGCUCUUCGUGAUUUGAGACGAGGUCACGAGCUAUGCGCGACCUUAUCCUCCGCCUAUUUGCAAGCCGCAGAGAGAUAAUUAUUUAUCGCGUGCACGCGGUGUAUAUAGACCCGACAAGAGAAGCAGCGCUUUCAUUGGUUAGCAGGAGGUGCAAAUGGGCUGGCCCGGCCCAUCAGUAACUUGGGCCGUCACAAAAUUGGAUUAAAAAAAAAAAAAUUAGAUAAUGUUUCAAUUGGUUUGGCCUGAACGACAAUUGGAUUUGUCCUGUUUUUGAACUAGUUUUGGGUACCCUCUUCUUUUUUUUUUUUCUUUUUUAGUUCCAGACCUUGUGGUCUCAUCGUCCAAGAUAGAAGAUAACAACUAACUCUUGCAGAGGUAUUGAAUAUGCCGUAUGUUAUAAAUAACAAAAUAAAUUUCACUUGAUAUCAAAACUGUAAACCUACCAUCUCUCUUUCUCUUUGAAGAUGUGGUGAAAGCUACUGGUAUAAUUUUCAGAAUAUGUUGAGAAGAUUGCAAAGAUUAAGAAGUUUACAGCAGCGCUGAUGUAACUUUAUGAUAAAUGAGAAAUGUUUUAGGCCUCCAAAAUCUUGCCUCUAAAGUGAUUGAUAUGGCAACAAAUUCAUUUGCAAUUUUACACUUCAUUUAUUAAUCAACCAAUUUUUUUUUUAAUAUGAGCGCCAGCAUAUAUAAACAUAAACAUGGGAGAAGGUCACUUUCCUACGGACCAAUCAGGGGGCCAGAAUAAAUUAUGUCUCACUCUCUCGGAUUCCAAGAAAACUCGACCGUUGUGCCCACACACACAACUGAAAAAAAAAAAAAAAAAAAAAANUACAGUUUCUAACUUUAGUAUCCUGUGAAUUAAAGUAUAUCAAUUUAGUGUCCUUUGGGUUCAUUUUUAUUUUUUUAUUAUCAAUUUUAUGAUUUUUUUUUUCGUUAAAUCAGUAACAAAGUUAAAACUAAAGAAUAAUAAAGUGAAUAUAUUCGAUAAACUUAAAUGGGUAUCUAAAAUUUUUGCAUAUAAUUUAACAAAAAAUUACUGAAAAAGCUAACAAAAAGAUAAAAAUGAAACCACAGAACACUAACUUGAUACAUUUUAAACCACAUGGCACUAAAGUGAGAAAAUACGAAACUACAUGAUUGGUAUUUGAAGUUUACAAAAAAAAAAACAAAAAAACAAAUGGGAAGCGCCAACCUCUUAGAUCUAUCCUUUGACUACUAAUAGCUUUUGAAUUAAACACUAUUUCACCUACCAUCAUCUACCACCAUCAUCCUAUUCCAAUAUCACUCCAUCUAAGGACUAUAAACUCAAAAGCACCAAUUCUUUGGUGCUUUUGAGAGUAUUCUAGCUCAACUAUAUAUAUUUAGAUAGAUGGUUGAGCUAGAAUACUAUUGAUAGUAAAAUACUUUUUUUACUAUCAAAUUUUUAACCCUUAUAUGAGAAAUUGUAGAGUUAUGAUGAUAUUAGUUUCUUAGGUCUGAGUGGUCCCCCUAGGGUUAACUGGUCCCCAUUGGGUUAUAAUAUUUAAUCUAAUAGUUAGAAAUGAUGAAAGGAGUUGAUUCAAAAGUUAGAAACUUGAUAGCAAAAAAAACUUUUUGCUAUCAAUAGUAUUCUAGUCCAACUAUAUAUAUAUAUAUAUAUAUAUAUAUAUAUAUAUAUAAUGGUGUAGAGUUUUUAUACUUUCAAAAGUAUAAAAAAGUUCAUGCUUCCGAUUUUUUGAUCCUUAAAUAAAAAAUUAUACGAUUGAAAUGAUAGUAGUAACCCUUGAGGUUGAGUGAUCUCUCUAGAAUUGAGGGUCCCCACAGAAUAAUAAUAUUAAUUUAAAUAUUACAAAUGGUUAAAAAAGUUGAUUUAAGAGUUAAAAAAUUAGAAGCAUUAAUUUCUUUAUACUUUCCAAAGUGUAAUAACUCUGUUCUAUAUAACAAAUGGGAAAACGAAAUAAUACUGAGUUGCUGGUAAACUUAUAGCUCGUUAUUGGCCCAUACCGAUAACCCGCUACGUACUAGUGGCAUAUGACCGUUAAGCCAACAUGGGCUCACUGUACAGCUGUAGAAAUGGUCCCAUUUUUUCAUAAUUUUUAAUUUUUAAAUUUUUAUAUACAUAUUUUUAAAUUUUUUUAGGAAAAACUUCAAAUAGCUCCUGUGAUUUCGCAUUUUCUCACUUUAGUACACUGUGGUUUAAAGUGUAUCAAGUUAGUACGCUGUGGUUUCACACUUUCUCACUUUAGUACUCUAUGGUUUCAAAUGUAUCAAGUUAGUACUUUAUGGUUUUAUUUUUGUAUCAAGCUAGUACCAUGUGGUUUCAAUUUUCUUUUUUUAUUAUCCAUUUUGGGUUAUAUAAUUUAACGAAAUAUUAAACCACAUGGUGCUAAAGGGAGAAAGUGUGAAACUACAGGGUACUAACUUGAUACACUUGAAACCACAGAGUACUAAAAUGAGAAAGUACGAAACCAUAUGGUACUAGCUCGAUACAUUUUAAACCACGUGAUACUAAAGUGAAAAAAUACGAAACCAUAGGGGUAUUUAAAGUUUCCUUUUUUUUACUACUUACCGUACCUUCUAUAGUUCUAUGCCUCUUCUUCUGUAGCUGUACUUUUUAUUUGUAUUUAUCUUUUUGCUUUCGUCUUUUACAGGUUGUAAAGGGCCACAGUGUACAGUGCAAAGAGAGCACUGUAAAUUAUUUUAAAUCAACUAUUUAAUUUUUCAAAAAAUUUAAUUUUACUAUUCAAUUUUUAAAUUUAUCUGACUUAAAUUAAUCAACGGUAUUUUGACUUUAAAAUUUAAACUAAUUAGUUUAAUAAAAUUAUAGUUAGAAGAAUCGUAUGAAGUAUAUUAAUGAAAUCUAUAAAGACAAACGAUGUAUUUAAAUUUUAAAAGUCAAAAUGCCGUUGAUUAACUUAAAUAAAAUAAAUUGUAAGGUUAGAUAGUAAAAUCAAAUUUAACAAGUAAACGAUUAAAAAUUAUUUAUAGUUUACAUAAAUUUUGUAUGUUUUUAUCUUUAUCUUUUUCUUUUUUUACUGUAAAAGUUUUCACAUUAUUAAUAGACCAAUUUUACAAUUAUCAAACUAGAUUCAUUAAAUCGAGUUAAAUUAAGUUAGUUAAUAACUACACAAUUUAAUUAAUGUAUCAUGCCGUGGAUUCUAAAAUCAGCUAUGCUAAUAACAACACUCGAAUUAAUACUGGUUCUAUUUUUCGGUCCUGAGUUUGUAAUUGUAGCUUUUACUUUCGAACCACCGUGCGCUCAUUUAAAUUUAGGGGUUGUUUAAUUGCAUGCGAUGGAAACUGCACGUAGAGUAAAAUACUGUAUUUGUUUGGGUAUAGUUGGAUACAAUUAUUUUAAUUGGAACGGCACGGAGAGGUUCACUUGUAAUAGUUAGAACUAAUUCAAACCAGUCGCACUUCCAAAUACAGUAGCUGGAGGAGAAUAAUUUUAAAUAAGAAGUAAAUUUACAUACAUAAUCGCCAUUUGAAUGAAAAGAUAUGGUUACAAUAUUUUUUACCAUACCUUUUAUUACUGUAGUUAUGUGGUGUGUUCAUUUUUGAUCUGUUCAAACUUAAUCCGAUGCACAUACAAUGUGGAUUUGAAUUUAGACGAGAUAUGUAUGUGGAAGAUCCAAGAGUAUCGAGAUAAGAACGAUCCAAGAAGACUAGUAAAACAAGCAACCUGAUCCAAUUUUGAUUUCUGAAUAUAUUAGUUAUCCAGUUUGUAAAUUUUUGCUAUUCUUUAAACUUCAACAACUAUAAUACUUUUUAUUAUUUUAAAUUAUAUCUAACCAGAGAUAUAUGUCUAUCAC
rnacentral:lncRNA from 1 species